GUGCCAGCCGCCGCGGUAAGACGGAGGGUGCUAGCGUUGUUCGGAUUUACUGGGCGUAAAGCGCGUGUAGGCGGAUUGGUAAGUCCGUGGUGAAAUCUCCAAGCUUAACUUGGAAACUGCCAUGGAUACUAUUAGUCUUGAAUGUUGUGGAGGUUAGCGGAAUAUGUCAUGUAGCGGUGAAAUGCAUAGAUAUGACAUAGAACACCAAUUGCGAAGGCAGCUGGCUACACGAAUAUUGACACUGAUGCACGAAAGCGUGGGGAUCAAACAGGAUUAGAUACCCUCGUAGUCC
rnacentral:rRNA from 1 species